UCCGAGUUGACCCCGGCAGUCUCCCGUGAGUCCCCACCAUUACGUGCUGGCAACAUAGGAUAAGGGUUGCGCUCGUUGCGGGACUUAACCCAACAUCUCACGACACGAGCUGACGACAGCCAUGCAGCACCUGUGCAAGCUGCCCUUGCGGGCUCGUCCCCCUUUCAGGGUUCUACUACUUGCAUGUCAAGGCCAGGUAAGGUUCUUCGCGUUGCAUCGAAUUAAGCCACAUACUCCACCGCUUGUGCAGGCCCCCGUCAAUUCCUUUGAGUUUUAAUCUUGCGACCGUAUUCCCCAGGCGGAGAGCUUAAUGCGUUAGCUGCGCCACUGAAGGGUAAACCCUCCAACGGCUAGCUCUCAUAGUUUACGGCGUGGACUAC
rnacentral:misc_RNA from 1 species